rnacentral:rRNA from 1 species
GGAUGAAUUGUGGUAAGUAGUGAAAUACAAAUCGGACUAGGAUAUAGCUGGUUUUCUGCGAAAUUUGUUUUAGCAAAUUGUUUAUGAUAAUAUUAUUAGUAGGUAGAGCACUGAAUAUCUGAAUACAAAGAGGGAGUAUUUAAAUACUUAUCUUAGAUAUUUAACCUCCGAAUGGCUAAUAAGUAAAAUAAAUAAUCGGACUUUUUGCGAUAAGGUAUAAAGUCUAGAGGGAAACAGCCCAGAACAGUCUUAUAAUAAGGCUCCAAAAUUAUUAUUAAGUGAAUAAAAAUAAGUAAUUGUUUUAUGACAACCAGGAAG